CGAGCCAUGACGGCUCAAAUAGUCGCUCGUCGCACCCUCUGGCUUCGCCACUGGCAAGCUGAUUCAGCGGCCAGAUUGAAUCUGUCCAGGGCUCCUUACUCCGGAUCUCUACUCUUCGGCGAGGAAGCUCUAAAGGCAGUGCUGGUUGAUCCAAAAGACGCCCACAAACCGGUUCUGGCCACAGUCAAGAACAGCGACCACAGACCUUUCAGGCGAUUCCCUUCCUUCCAUUCUAACCAGCCCUUUCGAGGAACGCGGCCAGGAGGACGAGGCCGCGACUUCAGACCCUAUGACCCCAACGCAUUCAGGGGCUCCUGGAACCGACGCUUCCAGGGCAGAGGUCAGUACCAAGGGCGCAGGGGCAACUCAUCGUCCUCAUAUAAGGGAGGCCCUCGCCUACGCAAGUAGUCUUAACGCCCUCCCCAUAGGUGGCAGAUUACUUAAUUUUGGAGGUCGAUGGCUGCGCCUUACUAAGGUCUCCUGGAUCAGGGACCUUUUCAGUUAUGGUUAUACCAUAGAGUUCUGGGCAACCCCAUCAGACAGAUUCCACCCGUCUCCUUGCCCAAGGGCACCAGCCAGGCACAACAUUAUGCAGACAGCUAUACACCACCUCUUGGACAUAGCGGCGAUAGAGCCAGUUCCCACAACUGAGAGGUCAGAAGGGGUGUCCUCCCUCCUAUUUGCUGUGCCAAAACGAGAUUUAUCAUGGAGGGCGGUAUUGGACCUCAAGUUUGUCAACCGUUUUGUAACAUAUCACAGGUUCAAAAUGGAAUCACUCCACUCCAUUACAGAGAGUCUGCAUGAAGGAGACUUCCUGGCUUCUAUCGACCUUAAGGAAGCGUAUCUCCAUGUGCCCAUUUGCAUAGCCCACAGAAAGUUUCUUCGGUUUGCUUUUGGCCACCAGCAUUUUCAAUAUAGAGCGAUGCCAUUCGGCCUCUCCUCUGCUCCAAGAGUGUUUACCAAGGUGCUACUCAUCCUAGUGGCUUACCUCCGGACCCAAGGGGUUCAUACCUACCCAUAUUUGGAUGAUUUGCUAAUACGGGCCAAGUCGGAGGAACUGGCUCAUCAUCACCCUCAAUGUUUUGCAGGCCUACGGCUGGCUUGUCAACUUCGACAAAAGUCAUCUCCAACCAACCCAACGCCUACUACAUCUAGGGGCAAUGUUGGACACCCUGCAGGCAAUGGUCUUCUUGGCUCCAGAUCGCAUCACUGCCAUCACAAGCAUCGCAAGGUCCCUGAUGCAACAAACAUCCGCAGACGUCAUGCUUCUCGCCAGAGCGCUCGGGAUGUUUAUAUCUACAAUCCACAUUGUGCCAUGGGCUCGAGCCCACACUCGGCCCCUUCAAUGGAUUCUGUUGCCUUUUCAAAAAGACAUUGCCAGCUCCAACCAUCGCAAAGUUCGCUUGAGCCCCGCACUGCGCCUCUCCUUCGGCUGGUGGACCAAGGUUCAACACCUCUUCAAGGGCACGUCGUUCAGAGAACCCCGCAGAACCGUUGUAACCACAGAUGCCAGCCUCAUAGGUUGGGGAGCCCACUGCAACUCCCAGUACGUUCAGGGGGUUUGGUCCAACACAGAGCAAUCCCAAAGCAUCAACUGGCUGGAACUAAAGGCUGUCCACUUAGCUCUAUGUCAUUUUCAGUCUCUGUUCCCUUUGCAUCAUGUGCUCAUUCGAACAGACAACACGUGUGUAAAAUCACAUUUGAACAGACAGGGGGGCACCAGGUCUCGUCCUCUGCAGGACUUAGCCUCCCUCAUCUUUGUCUGGGCAGAACAACAUCUACAAUCCCUGAAAGCAGAGCACCUCAGAGGGAUUUGGAAUGUGACAGCAGACUGGCUCAGCAGACAACAGGUCUUUCCGGGAGAAUGGAAACUUCAUCCAGCCAUUUUCCAUCGUCUCCAGUGUCGGUUCGGCGCCCUAUCAGUCGACCUGUUUGCCUCCAGUUGCAAUUGCCAGCUUCCCAGGUACUUUGCCCGAUACCUGGACUCAACAGCAGAAGCAGUGGAUGCUCUGACAACACCGUGGCCAGACGGUCUAUUGUACGCCUUUCCUCCCAUACCAUUGUUAGCCAAAACCUUGAGGAAGGCGCGAACCGAAAGGGCACAGCUGGUUCUGAUAGCACCAUUUUGGCCACGCCGACCGUGGUUCUCAGAUCUUCUGGCAAUGUCAAUGAUGGAUCCUUGGACACUUCCAGUAAGGCCAGACCUUCUAUCCCAGGGUCCAGUACUGCACCAGGACCCUACUUGGUUCAAUCUAACAGCGUGGCGUUUGAACGGGGACAUUUGAGGUUAGCUGGACUGUCUGACGCUGUGAUUGAUAUUAUUUUGGCCUCGAGAAGACCAUCUACCACCCGUAUUUAUCAACAUACCUGGGUGGCUUUCUCCAAGUGGUGUCAGUCCCACCACCAUGAUCCAUCCCAGGCCACUGUGCAUCAGGUGCUCCAAUUUCUCCAUAGCGGCUUUAUGAUGGGACUUCGACCCAACACUCUACGUCGACAUGCGUCCACUCUGUCGUCCAUUCUCUCAGUGUCCUCUCCUGGAGAUCAUAUUUCCUCACAUCCGUUCAUCAAACGUUUUUUGAGGGGAGUCGCCCUACGCUCUCCGGCUGUUGUCCAUCGGUUUCCCUCAUGGAGUUUGCCGAAGGUUCUGCAGGCUUUGCAACGCCCUCCGUUUGAACCCAUCAGGACUGUGCCUCUUCGUAUACUGUCCUUCAAGGUCUUGUUCCUGAUCGCAAUCACAUCUGCUAGACGAGUUUUGGAGUUGGGCGCAUUGUCUUCCGCUCGCCAUCUCUGCGUCUUCCAUAAGGACUCUGUUGUACUGGAAACUGAUCCUUCCUUCCGUCCCAAGGUUGAUUGUGUUCCAUUGCAACCAGGACAUUGUUUUGCCUUCCUUUUGCCUGAAUCCUACCCAUCCUCUCGAGAAGGCUUGGCAUUCGUUGGAUGUCCGGAGGGCUCUCAAGACCUACCUGUCUAGGACCCAGGAUAUACGACGAACUGAGUCUCUGCCUGUUGGCCUUGUUCUUGUAUUUUUAGAUAUCUCCCCUUAGACUCGCUGCGAAUGAACUGGAGAGUGGGAGGGGCCUGACGCCCCUAGUCUUGACUUCAAAGACAUUCUUGCCUUUGCACGAUACGUGGAGCUAAAACCCGUUGUGAUGUCCAUCCUCAUAGGAAAAUCACCCUUCAGUUUAUCUACCCACUUGGAGAGGGUUAUAGGUGUUUACUAACAGAUGUACAAUGAAGAUCUCAAUAUUAUGGAUUUGCUAGAGGAAGCACUGGAGUGACCUUGGAUGAAUUCCAUAGUACACAUAUCACAGUAAUUUCUGUCAGACAGAGUCUGAGACAACCCCAGCUACAUACAGG